rnacentral:lncRNA from 1 species
AACAUGAGAUGUCCAGGAUUGGAGGUUGAAAAGAUUUCACUACAGUGUUCUGCAAUAGUUGGAGCAGAUAACUUUCAGUGUAGCCACAGCCAUGGACUCCAGAUUUCCAGAUUUUCAAGACCUGGACCUGGAACCCGAAAGAGCUUGUCACGAUGCGGCAGGAACACUGGAGGUAGAUUUUUUUUUAUUUUUGAAUUUUGGGACUGUUGACCUUGCUGUGAGAAAAGAGACAACGACUGAGCAAGCACUACCACCAGCACUGUUACUGGGAAUUAGAAGACCUGAGUUUCUGUCCAGACCCUCAGUGCAAACUGAGGAUGCUCCAUCCAAAGUGAAUUAUGAUAGCAGACUCCUUGAAAGCAGGGUCCUUGUUUAGUGCAUCUUUGCCCACAUACACCACAACAUAUCAAGAUGCAUUUAUUAGGAAGGAGGAGUUUAGAGAGCAGGCUAUCAGAAUAACCACUCAUCCUGUGCCUCCUGAUUGCUGAGUGUUCACCUGGACCUUCUGACUACCUUCCCUGUGCUAUUCCAUCAGCCUACAGACCUGGUACCUGGAUUUUUGCCCGAGAUGAUUCCUACCACCUUACUACUGACGAAGACACCCAUUCCAGUGGACCACUGUGACCCAGGAGGCAUUCAGCCAUCAUGAUGUGGCCUUUACCUCCACUCCUGUCUUGUUCUACCCAGAUUCAGCACAGCCCUUUAUAGUGAAGUCAGAGUCCUCAAGCCAAAUAGCUAAAGCUGUUUUAUCACAACAAAGGCCUAGUUUGUUCCAUGAGUGUGCAUUUCAUUUCUUCAGUUAAAGCCUUCAGAGACACACAAUAAAUUUGGACCAGGGGAUUUUUUAGUUAUUAAUGCUCUCUGAAGAAAGGCAACAUCUUUUUGAGAGCAGCAUUGGACCACACCCCACAAUCUCAAAUGAUUGAAAUUCAUGAACAUCUAGGAUCCCGUGAAGGUCACUGGACCCU